rnacentral:rRNA from 1 species
UGCUCAACAGCUAGCCCACCCCCCCCCCAAAGAUCAAAUAUAAAUACAAGCAAAUAACUUGAAUGCCAAAACCAAACCAUUUUUCCCCUCUAGUAUGGGCGACAGAAAAAGGAACAGGCGCAACAGAAAUAGUACCGCAAGGGAAAGCUGAAAGAGAUGUGAAAUAGAGCACUCAAGCAAAAAACAGCAGAGACCUGCCCUCGUACCUUUUGCAUCAUGAUCGAGCUAGUUAACCUCAGGCACAGUGUCCUUUAGUCUGAGCCCCCGAAACCGAGCGAGCUACUUCGAGAUAGCCCAUAAUGGGGCAAACCCGUCUCUGUGGCAAAAGAGUGGGAAGAGCUUUAAGUAGAGGUGAUAAACCUACCGAGCUCGGUGAUAGCUGGUUAUCUAGGAAAUGGAUAUAAGUUCAGCCCCCGAGCCUUUCUUUGCCGAAGAGGGCCUACUUCACACUGGCAUAGGACAAGCUAAGGGAGUUAGUCAAGAGAGGUACAGCUCUCUUGAAAAGGAAACAACCUUCCCAGGCGGGUAAAAAUCAUUCACCUUAAGGUAUCAAGCCUCUGUAGGCCCAAAAGCAGCCAUCUGAUUAGAAAGCGUUAAAGCUCAAGCACUCCCCACGCCCACUUAUAACGACAAAUUGUUUGACCCCCCUAAAAGUACUAGAUCAUUCCAUGCAAACAUGGAAGAGACAAUGCUAGAACGAGUAACAAGGGGCCCGCUGGGCCCCUCCCCGCACAAGUGUACCUCGGAACGGACCCACCACCGAAAAUUACCCGACCCCAAACGCAGAGGGGACUGAAUAGCAACAAAUUAACAGGAAGAGUACUCAGUCAGAAAUCGUUGAUCUUACACAAGAGUGCAAGCAGGGAAAGACUAAAAGAAAGGGAAGGAACUCGGCAAACUCAAGCCCCGCCUGUUUACCAAAAACAUCACCUCUUGCAAAACUAAAAAAUAAGAGGCACCGCCUGCCCUGUGACUUUAUGUUUAACGGCCGCGGUAUCCUGACCGUGCGAAGGUAGCGCAAUCACUUGUCUUUUAAAUGAAGACCCGUAUGAAUGGCAUCACGAGGGCUUAACUGUCUCCCCUCUCUAGUCAGUAAAACUGAUCUCCCCGUGCAGAAGCGGGGUUGCCCACACAAGACGAGAAGACCCUGUGGAGCUUUAGAUAUAAAGAAGGGCAUCUUAAGGAAUCCCGUAAAAGGAACCCAAUCCCCAAUGCACUCCUUCUCGAAUAUCUUUGGUUGGGGCGACCGCGGGGACAAACAAAACCCCCACGAGGACUAAGAGUACCCCUCCUAAAACCAAGAGCCACCACUCUAAGUACUAGAACAUCUAACCUUAAAUGAUCCGGCACAUGCUGAUCAACGAACCAAGUUACCCCAGGGAUAACAGCGCAAUCCUCUUCCAGAGCCCAUAUCGACAAGAGGGUUUACGACCUCGAUGUUGGAUCAGGACAUCCUAAUGGUGCAGCCGCUAUUAAGGGUUCGUUUGUUCAACGAUUAAAGUCCUACGUGAUCUGAGUUCAGACCGGAGUAAUCCAGGUCAGUUUCUAUCUGUGAUAUGAUCUUUCCUAGUACGAAAGGACCGAAAAGAUGGGGCCCAUGCUCCGAGCACGCCCUCCCCCCCCACCUGAUGAAGUCAACUAAAGCAGACAAAGGGACAUACUCCUUUGCCAGAAAACAUGGCAA